ACUCCUACGGGAGGCAGCAGUGGGGAAUAUUGCACAAUGGGCGAAAGCCUGAUGCAGCGGCGCCGCGUGAGGGAUGACGGCCUUCGGGUUGUAAACCUCUUUCAGCAGGGAAGAAGCGCAAGUGACGGUACCUGCAGAAGAAGCACCGGCUAACUACGUGCCAGCAGCCGCGGUAAU
rnacentral:rRNA from 1 species